rnacentral:misc_RNA from 1 species
GGCUUGACUGGGUUUGGCCACUACUCGCGGAGCAGGGCAACGUGCUGUCCCCCUUACAAGUAGCGCUCGGGUCGGGCGAUAAGUUGCCAUCAAUCAUCGGCUGCGCCUGGCCUUUCCUGACCUCCACUUCCACCGUUUAAGCUCCAGUGAACUCUAUCUCGCCUGGAAAUCACGCGAAGAGAGAGAAAGGUGAGGACACCGAGACUGCCAGCCAUUGUUCCUCACUUUUUUGCCAUCGCCAAUACCUCCGUGCACCUCCCCAUCCACCGACAUUGCGGUUUCCCAUUUCUCGCAUUUUCUCUGUUAUCUCGCUCUUCCCCAAAGCCAUUUCUCAUCUGAGAGGAAGAUGGAACCAGACGUGAUGAAAGCGGAGCUAGUGUUGCCAACACAUUUGAGCUUCAAGAGGGUACAAAUGUACGAGAAGUACCCAAAAGGCCAAGCAAGAGGUCGCCAUUGGAAACAUCUAAAGCAGAUUCUUCAGGCUGAGAAUUUCCAAAACUACCUUGCUGAUGAACCCAAUUAUGUUAAUAUUGAGUCCUCACCCUCAAUGCAUCCAUGCAAGAGAAUC